CGGCAACAGCUCAAAUUUGAAAUCUGGCCUCUUUCGGGGUCCGAGUUGUAAUCUAGAGAGGUGUUUUCCGUGCUGGACCAUGUAAAAGUCCCUUGGAACAGGGCGUCAUAGAGGGUGAGAAUCCCGUC
rnacentral:rRNA from 1 species